AUGGAUACUAGUUUAAAAACACAUAACCGAAGCCUCAGAAAGAAAGCAGCAGUAUUCGUGCCGACCCGCCCGCACGCUAUGGGCCCUCUUCCUCAUUACAGCCCCAGAGAGGACCAAGGUUCAUCUGCCAUGUGUCCGGCGCUGCGCCAGAGGUCACUUCUUCCAUUGAUGCAUCCGCAAAUGUAUGAGAGGUUCCCUGCAUGGCAUGUGUUGAGUCAUGGACACUAGAACCUGUUAUUAGUGUUUUAAAGAGUUAGGGUUUAGUAAGAAGUAACAGUGAGUUUUGAUUCUCUGUAUUUCUAGAUGAAUGGCUCCAUGUCAGGCAGUACCGACUGCAUUAAUGCACUCAUGGACUCCAUGCUUCAAGCCAUAUACUGGACCAGAUUAAUGAACACAUUUACUGUUCUGCAUAAUCAGCAUAUAUGUCCUUGAGAGUCACCGCAAAGCUGUAAAGCAAUGACUUGAAUGUGAUAAAGAGAAAGCUUCUUAUCUAAUCAUGAUGUGUUUAGGAUUCCAUGCUGAUUCCAUGUCUGGACUAUGAGACUGAACACGCUGCAGGAGAAUCAAAGCCAACGCUCAGGACAAAGAGCAGAUGUUCGCUAGAUAACCUCUCUCUGGGCAAUCUUGGCACCCUAACCAGACAAGGAUUUCCUGGGUAAACUUCAAGUCGGCUGUGUUGGGAGGGAUUCACAAAGGCCGGGCUGAAGUUGAGCUUUGUGCAGAUGGUCAUACGCUAUGUCUCCCACAUAUAUAUCAGUGGGAUCAGGAACAGUAAAAGCUCAUUCCUAGAGCUAUGUGCGUACCUUAGUUGACUGCACAUCAAUCAUAGGCCUAUUUAACAGAUAGGAGCAAACAUGAUCAUAACUGUGAAGUCUGUCAGUGAUGCCAAGAUAUACAGUGUCUUCGGAAAGUAUUCAGACCCCUUAACUUUUUGUUAAGUUACAGCCUUAUUCUAAAAUGGAUUCAAUUGUGUUUUUUCUCAUCAAUCUACACACAAUACAAAUGACAAAUCUAAAAUCAAAAAUUUUGUGAAGUUACAAUAAAUAAUAAUUUUAAAAAAUCACAUUAACAUAAGUGUUCAGACCCUUUACUCAGUACUUUGUUGAAGCACUUAUGGCAGUGACUAC
rnacentral:lncRNA from 1 species